AGUCGAGCGGAGAUGAGGUGCUUGCACCUUAUCUUAGCGGCGGACGGGUGAGUAAUGCUUAGGAAUCUGCCUAUUAGUGGGGGACAACAUUCCGAAAGGGAUGCUAAUACCGCAUACGUCCUACGGGAGAAAGCAGGGGAUCUUCGGACCUUGCGCUAAUAGAUGAGCCUAAGUCGGAUUAGCUAGUUGGUGGGGUAAAGGCCUACCAAGGCGACGAUCUGUAGCGGGUCUGAGAGGAUGAUCCGCCACACUGGGACUGAGACACGGCCCAGACUCCUACGGGAGGCAGCAGUGGGGAGUAUUGGACAAUGGGGGGAACCCUGAUCCAGCCAUGCCGCGUGUGUGAAGAAGGCCUUAUGGUUGUAAAGCACUUUAAGCGAGGAGGAGGCUACUGAGACUAAUACUCUUGGAUAGUGGACGUUACUCGCAGAAUAAGCACCGGCUAACUCUGUGCCAGCAGCCGCGGUAAUACAGAGGGUGCGAGCGUUAAUCGGAUUUACUGGGCGUAAAGCGUGCGUAGGCGGCUUUUUAAGUCGGAUGUGAAAUCCCCGAGCUUAACUUGGGAAUUGCAUUCGAUACUGGGAAGCUAGAGUAUGGGAGAGGAUGGUAGAAUUCCAGGUGUAGCGGUGAAAUGCGUAGAGAUCUGGAGGAGUACCGAUGGCGAAGGCAGCCAUCUGGCCUAAUACUGACGCUGAGGUACGAAAGCAUGGGGAGCAAACAGGAUUAGAUACCCUGGUAGUCCAUGCCGUAAACGAUGUCCACUAGCCGUUGGGGCCUUUGAGGCUUUAGUGGCGCAGCUGACGCGAUAAGUAGACCGCCUGGGGAGUACGGUCGCAAGACUAAAACUCAAAUGAAUUGACGGGGGCCCGCACAAGCGGUGGAGCAUGUGGU
rnacentral:rRNA from 1 species